rnacentral:scRNA from 1 species
AAGUUGAACACUCCAACAAAAAGAAAAGGCCA